AAAUUUCAAGUGUUUUGGGAGCUCUGUACCAGGAACCCAGGACAAAGACAGAGACGAGGUCUUGCUCUGUUGUCCUGGCUGGAGUGCAGUGGUUUGAUCGCAGCUCCUGACAACCUCUAACACUUGGGCUCAAGAAAUCCUCCUGCCUCAGCCUCUCAAGUAGCUGGGACUACAGAGACAUUCCACCAUGAUAGGGUGCUGGUCAUGGCUCCUCCAUCCCCCUGCCAGGGCCAGUGCAGUCCUUUCUGCUGGGUCCCCCGGCUCCUGACAACCUGCUCCUUACCUCCUGUGAAAGACGCAGACCAGCUGCUCACUAAACCCCUCUCUACCUGGCACCAGCACCGACUACAUUUCCCAGCAUCCCUUACAGCCAGGACCCAGAAGGAGGCUGGAGCCACACGAAGGAAAGAACCUGAGUCCAUGAACGAAAGGCAAACUGCAGGCUGGAAGCACCAGGCUUUGUAUGUGGGAAACAAACUACUGUGCCACGUCACAAGAGCUGGGAGUGGGCAAACCAUCCUGAAGGAAGGGCAGUCGCCCAAUGAGCAGAGGGAAUGGCCAGAGGAAGCAUCUGGGUCCACGUGACGGCAGCAUCUGCUCAGUCUGGCUUACCCCAGACUUCUCCUCAGGUAAUGACGGCACUAACAGAAAUAGCUGUGGGCAAGGCACAGUGGCACAUGCCUGUAAUCCCAACACUUUGGGAGGCCAAGGCAGAAGGAUUACCAGACCCCAGGAGUUUGAGACCAGCCUGGGCAACACAGUGAGAUCCUCUCUUUACAAAAAAUGUAAAAAUUAACUGGCUGUGGUGGUGUAUGCCUGUGU